GCGGAUAUAGCACAUCGGUAGUGCAUUGGCUUCCCAAGCCAAGGAGGCGGGUUCGACUCCCGUUAUCCGCU
rnacentral:tRNA from 1 species